rnacentral:rRNA from 1 species
ACUGGGGUGAAGUCGUAACAAGGUAGCCGUAUCGGAAGGUGCGGCUGGAUCACCUCCUUUCUGGAAAAAUGCUGCUUCAAAUUGAACGUCCACACUUAUCGGUUGUUGGAACAAGCCAG